rnacentral:lncRNA from 1 species
UCCUCAAAAAUAAGACUGAACAGUAUUUUUUUUGAAAACUAAACAGCUUUUUGCCUAAAGCUUUGAACAAAAGCUUUGUGUUAGUAGAGUUUAUGAGCUUUAACUGAACAUCUUGUAAAGAAAUAGUAAUUGAAUUGCUAUACCAUGCACUUUACAAGCUUAAGAAAAUUAAGGAGUUGAAGUAAUCAAAAUUAGAAGCUUAAAAGCUUAUUUAAUUAUUAGAAGCUUAUUUAAUUAAUUUUGAAUUCCCAUUAUUUUACUCCACAUCUCAGAUUUUCAGCUUAUUUACCUUCAGCUUAAAACGUUGAAAAUAAGCUUUUCUAGAGUAGGGUUUUAGGUGAUUUCCUCACACACACACACACACACACACACACACCAUAAAAAUCAAAUAAAUAAAUAAAUUCU